AUGGCUUUGCCUCUUGUUUAUUUGUCAGUGCUCACCUUCUGCUCAGGCUCCCUCUCCCAGCCUGUGGUGACUCAGCCUCCCUCUGUGUCUGCAUCCCCGGGGAGCACAGCCAGACUCUCCUGCACCCUGAGCAGUGGGUACAGUAGUUAUGGUGCUUAUUGGUACCAGCAGAGCCCAGGAAAGGCCCCUCAAUAUCUACUGUAUGUCACCAGCAGUGGAGGUACAAGCAGGGCCGAUGGGCUCCCUGAGCGCUUCUCAGGCUCCAGCUCUGGGAACAAUCAAUUCCUGUCCAUCAGCAACGUCCAGCCUGAGGAUGAAGCCGAUUAUUACUGUCUGUCAUAUUAUAUCAGUGAUGAUGAUUAUGGCAGUAUUAGUAGUUAUGAUAUCACACAGUGA